rnacentral:lncRNA from 1 species
CUCCCAGAGUGCUGGGAUUACAGGUGUGAGCCACCACACCCGGCCCGCCACUCUUGUUUAAAUUUUUGUUGUUGUGAUGUGAACGGUUUUAUACAUAAAGAUUCAUUGGAUUUUAGAGUUUUUCCUUAAACUCUGAUUCUUUCUCCUACUACGUUUCCCCCUUCUCCUUCCAAUUCAGACACGCUGGCCUCCUUGCUGUUCUCAGACCUUUGCACUGGUCAGUCUCUCUGCUUGUAAUGUUCUCCUGAAUGUCUGCAUGGCUUCACUGUCCCCUCAUCCAGUCUUCGGCUCAUAUAUCCACAGCUUCUCAAAUUGCAGUAUCUAAAGUAGCAGCUCCCCCAACCUUUAUGCCAUUACGUCCUUAUCCUAUCUUAUUUUUCCCUACUGGAAUGGAGGCUGUGCAGCAGAAGAGACAAUCUCUUUGGCUUACUGCUGAAUCCACAGUACCAGGAACAGGAUCUCGCUUAUAAAUAUCGAUUGAAUAAGUGAAUGAAUAAAUACACUGUUGAGUGUCUACCAUGUGUUUUACAAAGAAGAGUUAACAUGGAUUUGGGCAAAGCUUAAUAGUUUCCAGCCAGAAGUUUUACCUUUUGGAUUCCCAUUAGCUUGAAACACUUUAAUAAUAUAUGGAUCCUUUAUUUCCAUAUAUGGAAAGGUGGGGAAAGUCCAGAUAGGAGGUAUCUAAUGUCUUUUUUUUUCUUGCCUAUGCCUUCAAUGAGUUAAGUCUGACAAGGCUGCCUUCAGUGUGUCUGCACAGCACAUAUAUUUUGUGCUUAGAUAUAUAAUUCCUUCUAGACCUGGAGAACUUUGCAUGUUUGGGGUACACUUUGGAUGUUUCCCCCUAUUUGCACAUGAUUUCAGGUGAGAUAGUAGUUUUUCUUGAAAUCGGCUCAUAGCCUGAAAAGAGUACAGAUUCACCAGAACAUAAGAGAAUGGGAUUUUUCUGCCAGAAGGUGAGCUAUGGUAUGUACAGUUUAGUUAGUGAUGAUUUGUUGUCUUCUGGCAGCUAUACUUAAUACCAAAAAAUUUUAAGAGAGAUACACACAAUAGUUGAACCUGUUAUGGGCAAAGUGAUAAUUCAGUGGUAACUUGCCAGUUCAAAAUUAGGAAGUCAUUGGCAAGUGCAUCCUGAGCCCUGCAUUCUGUGGCUUGCGUGAGGUAUGAGUACACAUGAGGAUCUGUGGUUUGAGUCCAUUAGACCUCGAAAGGGCGGUUCAUGAUAUGUGGUUCCAAAAGCUUGUUUGGAAACAAGCUUUUGAACUUUUUCAUGUGGAAUUUACAAAGGUAACUUUUGCUCUGCAACUCACUGAAAUCUCUUUCCAUUAUUUUUUAAAUGUUUGUAAAUUGUGGCUUGGUUUACUCAGUUGUACAGUUGACCUUUGAACAACAUGGUAUGAACCGCAUGGGUCCACUUAUACGUGGAUUUUUUUCAAUAAAAGUUAUACCAACUAUGCCUCCUGUCUCCCCUUCUACCUCUGCCUCCUCCACUUCUGCCUCUGCUACCUUUGAGACAGAAAGACCAACCCCUCUUCCUCCUCCUCCUCAGCCUACCCAUCAUGAGGACAACCAGGAUGAAGACCUUUAUGAUGAUCCACUUCCACUUAGUGAAUAGUAAAUAUAUUUUCUCUUCCUUACGAUUUUCUUAAUAUUUUCUCUAGCUUGUUAUAUUGUAGGAAUUCAGUACAUAAUACCUAUAAUGUACAAAAUAUGUAUUAAUUGACUUUAUGUUUUCAUUAUGGCUUCUGGUAAAUAGUAAGCCAUUAGUAAGUAAAUUCUGGGGGAGUCAGAAGUUACACGUGGAUUUUCAGGUGCGCAGGGCGUCAGUGCCCCUAACUCGUGUUGUUCAAGGGUUAACUGUACUUCCUGAUAAUCAAGGUGAGAAUUGGAAAUAUUUUGCCUCACAUGCCAGUCUAGGAAAAAGAUAGCUACUUUUGUUGUCAUUGUUGUGAUAUUUGGUCUUUUGAGAAGGGUCUUGCUCUGUCACCCUGGCUGGAAUGUAGUGGCACAGUCAUGGCUCACUGCAGCCUCAACCUCCCAGACUCAAACGAUCCUCCCAUGUCAGCCUCUCAAGUAGCUGCGAGUACAGGCAUGCACCACCAUUUCCUGGCUAAUUUUUUUUUUUUAUUUUGUGUAGAGACAAGGUCUCUUUGUGUUGCCCAGGCUGGUCUCGAACUCCUGGACUCAAGUGAUCAACCCACCUCUCCCUCCCAAAGUGCUGGGAUUACAGGUGUGCGCCACUGCGCCGACCAUUGUUGUGUUUUAAUAUUAUGAUAUUGUUGUAAUUUGUAGUAUUGAUAUAGUUCUUAAAAGCAUCUUAUUUCUUCCUCACAAUACCCUGUGAGAUACAAUAGGGCACAUCAAGUGACUUACCCAAGUCAUACCAGCUGUAUAGUGACAGACCACCCUAGUAGAACUGAGGCCUCUGACUCUUAUGUUCCCAAUGCUUUCCAACGCAUUCCACUGUCUCUUACCAUUGCAAAGGUUCAAGAAUUAAAUUUGGUGUGGCAGUAUCUGAAAUGGCCACAAGAUGGGUGUGUUGCUCAAAAAUGUCUAUCUUCUUCUCGGUGCCCUUGGAAAUUUUUUUUUUUUUCUUUAUAAAUCUUUGUCUGUCUCAGUCCUUACUUGCCUCUCUACUUUUGUCUUUUUCAGGCCUUUUACUUCUCCUAUUCUCCCUCUUUCUCCUUAAAGUGAACUUAUUAUGGAACUGAAAUGUUUUACUUAUUUCUUGAGGAGUUUAGAUCCCCUGCUCCUAAACUAAAAUUUAACAGUGUACCUUAGAACUCAUUUAGCUAUCCAUUGAACUUCUCCCGCUUUAUGGGUCAGUGACCUGAGAUAGAAAAAUUGUUCCACUUCUGAUAGAGGAUCUAAAAGGAAUUCCAUUCUAAAUAGAUUAUUCUAGAAGAUCAUUUAUGGACCUGGGAGCCCCACAGCCCUUUCAUACAACUGCACCUUGCAUAGUCUUUAGAGGGGAAUAUUGAAAGGUCUUUUAGAUUUUUGAUUCAAGAAAUAUGCAAGGGAAGCUCUUUCUUCAUGUCUGUAUAGGCAUUUUUGAGAACAAGUGAGACAUAUGAGGCUAGUUUAGAAGACCCAAGAAUCAUGCUCUAAGAGAUGGCCCAGUGAGUUUCCUAGAUCAGACCUGAGGACUUGGCCAUUUUGCCAUAGAAUCCUGCUUAAGGUGAAAUGGAAUUGCUGAACCAUUGCUUCAUUAGAACGUGUCAUUUUAAACACAACGUGAUGUGCCAGACUUCAAACUACUUGUAAGAAAAGAUACUAGUACAAAAACCAAAUAGCAGUGUCUCCAAAUUAAUAUAAUUCUUAACCAUUUGCUAUUUGGAGAAACAGAAAACUCUUCAGCAUUUUCCCUUGGGGGAUAUUUUUAUUCCAGAGCUUAAAAACAACACUAGUUUGAACUUCAUUCUCUGUUCAAAUUGUUUGUGUAGUUAGUAUGUAUUAGAUUUAAGCUCUCUGAGGGCAGCGACUUCAUCCGUCUUGUUUGUUGAUGGAUUCGCAGAAUCAUACACAGUGCUCUCAUACAGUGAAAUAAUCCUCACAGUGACCAUAUGAGGGCCUUUUAGGGAUGUGCAUACUGAGACAUAGAGAAUUGAUGUAAACUCUCAAAGGAUAUAAAGUUAGUAACUAAUGGAGUUGGGAUUAGAUCCCAAGAGUUUCAGACUCUGAAGUCAAUUCUUAUGGGCAUUCUGCUUUACUGUAAAUGAUGGAUUGAAUGAAUGGGACAGGAGCCAUUUGUGUGUUAUCCCUUUUUAGUGAUGUUAGUAAUGUAAUCUCAAUCUCUGUGUCAGAGUUGAAACUUAUUCUCUAUACACUACACAAAGUUCAGCUUUCUUUAUAACUAGACCAGACUGUAGUUUUAUUUCUUUGCUUGUUCCUACCUUUUAGAAUCAGAUUUUAUGAGGAAACUUCUGAAUGGAUGCUCUCUCUGUAAUGAACCCUAAAUUUUGCCAGUUGUUGCAAGGGUAGCAGUGGGCACUGCCUUCUUUUAAUAAGCUGGUCUCCCUUAGUCCUUAUCUGUUUGGGUUCUCUGCUACUAAUUUGCUUCUUCCAUUUUAGAAAAACACUCUGGUGGUAGAACCAGAAUACCUAAUUGUACUUAGUGAUCUUUGAAGGAGUUUGAGUAUUAACUGUUUGAACAAAUUAAAUAAAAAGGCUCAGAAAUUAAAUAGAAUGUUUAUUUCCAUUGGUGAAGAAUGCAGACCUUCGAGACCCACAGACCUUGGCUUUUAUCCUGGCUCCGCCUCUGCUGUGUGACCCCAGGGUAGGUUAACAUCGCAGGGUUGUGACAGAAUAAGAUGAUGCCUUUAAAGUGGCUGCUGCUUGCAUCCCUCAAAUACGAGUGUUCUUCUGGCCUGCCCUGUUUUGACCUUUGCCCAGGCAUCCAGAGUACUUUCCUUAAGUCAGUUCAAGUCAACAAACGCUUGUAGAUUUUCUUAUGUGUUCAGCACUGAGCAGGCCACAGAGAUAAAUAAGAAACAGGAAUCACCCCAAACUUGCAUUCUUAUGCUGGCAUUGCCACUUAACACUGGGUCCUUAACUUUGGACAAGUCACCUAUCUAUGAUACGGUAUGAUGUGAGCCAUCUGUGAUAUGAUAAGUAUCACCUGUGAUAUGAUCUAUGAUAGAGUAAAAUGAGGGAGAUAAUCCCUGCUCUACUCAUCUCAAUAAGUUGUUUUGAGAAGUAAAUAAAAUAGUAGAUAUGUAGGCAUCUUGUUAUCCUGAAAGUCCUGAGUAAAUCUCAGGUUCUUUUUAUCAGUAACUAAAAAUCAGUCCCUGUCCUGAGCAUUAAACAGGAAGAUAGACUUGUGUCAGAUUUCUUUAUUUAGCUUUCUGAUAGUCCUACCACAUGAAGCAAUGAAGACUUUGGAGUCAGGAUCUCCUUAAUGUACCAGACUCUUUCUUACCCCCCACUGUCUACCCACUCACCCAACAACAUGCUUCUCUCUCGCCAUGCAGAGCUACUAAUGUUCAACCUCCCACUUCACUGGAUUCCCUAUGACUCCAGCUCAGCAGAGAUUCUGAUUUUGGCAACACUUUUUUAAGCCAAACUUUGAAAGCAGCUCCACUUCCAGAGGGUAGCCUGUUUCAUGCUUUUCUGUGUUAAAUUGACUUUGUUUAAAAUGGCUCUUUGUUUGCAGCACAUGUUCAGAGUUGUAGCUGUGUCUCUUGAUUCAGGACGGGAUGCCAGGUUUCUUAACCUGGGACAAUGGACAGGCCUCAGGGGGCCCAUGAGCCCUCUGAAAUGAAUACUUGGAAGACAUGGGAAAAAUGAAAAGAAACACCCAUAUCCUAUCAUGAGAAUGUAAGAAGCAAAUGAGAUGUUGGUCCGUGUAAAAGUUCUAUUAUUUACCAGGUACUUAUCACACACCAACUCUUGUUAUAUAUGAUACUGAGGGAGAAUCAACCCUAUUACUAUGAGGGUGAGGCAGCUAUAAUAAGGGUUAAUGAAAUAUAGAAGACAUUGUUUUGUAAUUAGCCUAUUACAACAUAUAUCUAUGGGGAAAAAUGUUAAUUCUUCCUUACCCCAGCAAAAGAAUGAAAAGUUGAAGAAACUUGAAGAUUUGUGAAAAUGUUUUACAGGAUUUGGUGUCAAUUUGUUUUUUUUUAAUAAAGUGCCAUGGGAGCCUCAUAA